UGGGGAAUAUUGGACAAUGGGCGAAAGCCUGAUCCAGCCAUGCCGCGUGUGUGAAGAAGGUCUUCGGAUUGUAAAGCACUUUAAGUUGGGAGGAAGGGCAGUAAGCGAAUACCUUGCUGUUUUGACGUUACCGACAGAAUAAGCACCGGCUAACUCUGUGCCAGCAGCCGCGGUAAUACAGAGGGUGCAAGCGUUAAUCGGAAUUACUGGGCGUAAAGCGCGCGUAGGUGGUUCGUUAAGUUGAAUGUGAAAGCCCCGGGCUCAACCUGGGAACUGAAUCCAAAACUGGCCAGCUAGAGUAGGGCAGAGGGUGGUGGAAUUUCCUGUGUAGCGGUGAAAUGCGUAGAUAUAGGAAGGAACACCAGUGGCGAAGGCGACCACCUGGGCUCAUACUGACACUGAGGUGCGAAAGCGUGGGGAGCAAACAGG
rnacentral:rRNA from 1 species